rnacentral:lncRNA from 1 species
CAGCAAAUCGUCAAGAAUGGAGCUUCCAGCACAAGUGGCCCUAUAUAUAUAGGGCCGUUCGAUGGUCGAGAUGACGCUGCGCCGACCGAGAUCCCUCGGAUGGGUGACACUUGGCGGCAUCCGGGCCCCCCUUUCGGCCCGGUGGUUCGGCGCGCCCAUCCCGGGAAGGCCGCACCGCCUUCAUUUAAUGCGAAGGACGCCAGCCCA